AACGAACGCUGGCGGCAUGCCUAACACAUGCAAGUCGAACGAGACCUUCGGGUCUAGUGGCGCACGGGUGCGUAACGCGUGGGAACCUGCCUUUAGGUUCGGAAUAACUCAGAGAAAUUUGAGCUAAUACCGGAUGAUGUCUUCGGACCAAAGAUUUAUCGCCUUUAGAUGGGCCCGCGUUGGGUUAGCUAGUUGGUGGGGUAAAGGCCUACCAAGGCGACGAUCCAUAGCUGGUCUGAGAGGAUGAUCAGCCACACUGGGACUGAGACACGGCCCAGACUCCUACGGGAGGCAGCAGUGGGGAAUAUUGGACAAUGGGCGAAAGCCUGAUCCAGCAAGGCCGCGUGAGUGAUGAAGGCCUUAGGGUUGUAAAGCUCUUUUACCCGAGAUGAUAAUGACAGUAUCGGGAGAAUAAGCUCCGGCUAACUACGUG
rnacentral:rRNA from 1 species